AGCCGUGGGAGCGUCGGGGUCCUUUGGAUCCUCGUGACUGCGUGCCUUUUGAAGAAUGAGCCUGCGAGUUUGCGGUGUGUUGCGAGGUUAACCCGAGUGGGGUAGCCGUAGCGAAAGCGAGUCCGAACAGGGCGUUUGAGUAGCACGCUCAAGACCCGAAGCGGAGUGAUCUAGCCAUGGGCAGGUUGAAGCGGAGGUAAGACUUCGUGGAGGACCGAACCCACCAGGGUUGAAAACCUGGGGGAUGACCUGUGG
rnacentral:rRNA from 1 species